rnacentral:rRNA from 1 species
UACGAAGGGGGCUAGCGUUGUUCGGAAUUACUGGGCGUAAAGCGUGCGCAGGCGGUUUUGUAAGCCAGAUGUGAAAGCCCCGGGCUUAACCUGGGAAUGGCAUUUGGGACUGCAAGGCUUGAGUGCGGCAGAGGAGACUGGAAUUCCUGGUGUAGCAGUGAAAUGCGUAGAUAUCAGGAGGAAUACCGAUGGCGAAGGCAGGUCUCUGGGCUGACACUGACGCUCAUGCACGAAAGCGUGGGGAGCAAACAGG